rnacentral:rRNA from 1 species
CGUAGGUGGCAAGCGUUGUCCGGAUUUAUUGGGUUUAAAGGGUGCGUAGGCGGCUUAAUAAGUCAGUGGUGAAAGCCGAUCGCUUAACGAUCGAACUGCCAUUGAUACUGCUAGGCUUGAGUAUAGUUGAGGUAGGCGGAAUUGACAGUGUAGCGGUGAAAUGCAUAGAUAUUGUCAAGAACACCAAUUGCGAAGGCAGCUUACUAAAGUAUAACUGACGCUGAGGCACGAAAGUGCGGGGAUCAAACAGGAUUAGAUACCCUGGUAGUCCGCACCGUAAACGAUGAUCACUCGCUGUGUGCGAUAAACAGUACGCGGCCAAGCGAAAGCGAUAAGUGAUCCACCUGGGGAGUACGCCCGCAAGGGUG